rnacentral:lncRNA from 1 species
AACAGAUUUCAUCAUGGGCAAUAUAAAGCAUAAGUUGUGCGUAAGUACCUGCCUAACAAUAUGUUAUAAUGAGAGUUACAUGACUAAGGAUAUCACUUAAUCUACUCUCUUGCUCGCUCCUUUUCAAAUACCGAGUUAUUAAAAUACCAUAUCUCAGUAGUACAAGUGCAAUAAACUCUAUAAUUCCAAAAUGCAGUCUCUCAUAUCUCAGUAGUUCAUGUACAUAAAAUGACAAAAAUUCAGAAGCAAACUUAAAUAAAAAAACACGUGACAUGGAGCUGCGCAAAGACAUUGGAGCCAUCCUCUUUGUAGGAACUACAACUUGUAAUUUCAUUACAACACAACUACAACUACAACUACAACUACAUUACAGACAACAAAAACCACAAAAUGAAAAAAAAAGGAAAAUCGAGUACACCACUUUUUUCUUCAGUCUUUCGUUCUUCAAUGUCAUCUCCUCAAUUUGUUUUGGUCUCCCGGGAUCGUCUCCCGGAAUUUGUUUUGGUCCAUGAAACCUUCACAGGCGAAGGAACUCCACAUUUGCAAUUGCGUGAUGAACUCCCUGAUGAAAUUGUGCUCAUGACUGGGGAGAGAGAAUUAAUUAAGGUUAAUACGUUGCCACCAUAAAUGAUGAAAUUAUGAAAUUAUGCAAAAAUUUCAACAUUUGAGUGUUGCAUCACAAGUGAAGCUAUUCAAGCACAUUUUGACCAAAUUUUCAAAAAAUCUAUAUUGACAACUCUGGAAAACAACUCCCUAGAAAGAAGGAAGUCUUCACCUGAUUUAUUCUCAAAAAUUACCUUAGAAAACAAAGCCAUCUGAGAAUAAAAACUUCAAAACAAUAUAACACAAACACUAUUAUGUAAUAGCCAGUAACCAUAACACAAACACUUAACAGGCGUAUAUGAUCCGGAACCAAUUAAAAUAUAGUGUAGAUUCGAAGUUCCAUAACAUGGGAGUAUAUUGUUUCCAAAGUUUUUUGAAAGUGCAAAACCAGACUCUUUUACACUUGAUUUUGAUUUUGAUUCAGAAUACAACAUGUAGCAAACUUUACAUACAUUUGACACAUUCUUAAAUAUUUUAUUGCAGGAUUGGAUAGAUGAGACAAACAAAGGAUUCAAACAUACGCAUACCUGAUUUGGAGAGAGGAGAGAGGAGAGACGCAGAACGCAUAACCUAGGUCUAGGGAUUUGGCUCUUCUUCAAUCGCAAUUCUCAGUUCGUGAAUUUGGGGAGAAGAGCUCGACUACGGCUUACGAUUUGGAGAGAGGAGAGACGCAGAAUGCAGAACGCAGAACCUAGGGCUAGGGAUUUGGCUCUGCUUCGAGGCUUCUCUAAGAUUCGCGAAUUUGGGGAGAAGAGUUCGUGACUACGGCUAGGGAUUUGGAGAGAGGAGAGACGCAUCACCUAGGGCUAGGAUUUGGCUCUGCUUCAAGGGUUCUCUAAGAUUCGCGAAUUUGGGGAGAAGAGUUCGUGAUUUGGAGAGAGGAGACGCAGAACGCAAAAUUGGGUUUUUUAAAAGACACGAUAGGAAGGCUCUUAUAUACUUCUGUUACUUAAGAUUUUAUGUUACUUAAAAGUUCAGCUCUUGAACUUUCCUGUAUAUAUAUAUAUAUAUAAGCUUCAAGAGCAUAAUUCUUAAAUAACAUAAUGCCUUAAAUAGCAUAAUUUCAUCAAAAUGAUGUAGUUUUGAAGGGACGCGG